rnacentral:rRNA from 1 species
AUACGGGAGGCAGCAGUGGGGAAUUGUUCGCAAUGGGCGCAAGCCUGACGACGCAACGCCGCGUGGAGGAUGAAGACUUUCGGGUCGUAAACUCCUUUCGACCGAGAUGAAUGUCCCUCGACCCAACACGUCGAGGGAGUGACAGUAUCGAGGGAAGAAGCCCCGGCUAACUCUGUGCCAGCAGCCGCGGUAAUACAGGGGGGGCAAGCGUUGUUCGGAAUUACUGGGCGUAAAGGGUUCGUAGGUGGCCAACUAAGUCAUACGUGAAAUCCCUCAGCUUAACUGGGGAACUGCGUCUGAUACUGGUUGGCUUGAGUGCAGGAGAGGAACGCGGAAUUCCAGGUGUAGCGGUGAAAUGCGUAGAUAUCUGGAGGAACACCGGUGGCGAAGGCGGCGUUCUGGACUGCAACUGACACUGAGGAACGAAAGCCAGGGGAGCAAACGGGAUUAGAUACCCCGGU